CCACUGUGCCCAGUCAGUGAAAUUUAAGAUCAUGAAUGGUGGCAUACUGUCACUUCUGCCAAAACUACACCUUACAUGAUAACCCUUUCUUGCUCCCCACCAGCUUUUGCUCUCAAGUCUCGUUUGGUCAUGCUAAGCCACAGUUUGGGGACUCCUAGGAGCAGCCAUCACAGGUAACCAGUUCUGCUGGCUCAGGAUGGCCCCUGCUGCCCUGACUCAGAGACACUUCCUGCAAGGCAGACAUCUCAUGCAGAGCAGAGGCCACUGCAGUCAGAAGGAAGGGCCUGGUAGCCUCAGAGGCACAGCCAAGGGGCUGCAACGAUGGAAAGGAGAUAUUCCACAAGUCCAAGAGUGUGACAUGGAAGCACACUCUGGGAUGUGGUGGACUCAAGUGAUCCAUGCAGAUGUGGAUGCUGUCUCUCUUUCUCUGUUCAUAGAGUGUGGCAUGGGUCCUCUCUGGGUGAAAAUAGGUGCCCAGAAUUAAUCACACACUUCCAUUCAAAAUAAACUGUGCCAACUUGCUGAACCACAAAAUGAUUUCCUCGCCAUGGCCCCUAAAUAACUCCGUGAUAAGAACUGUAUGCUAUUGAUGGCUCUGAAGUCCAAAUUUAUUGGCAAAAGCAAAGAACAUGCCUGAACUAGUCAUUUCUGCAGGCGUUUCUCCUUAAGAUGAGUUUGAAGCCAAUUGGUUAUGUGAAGAAUAGCAAUCAGUUCUUUCUCACACUGGAGGAGGAGGAAGCACAAAAGAAAGUUCAAGGGUCAAGCCUCCCAAAAGGCUCUGUUAUAAUCCUAUGUGCUCUUUCAUUGUAUCUAGUGAUGAAUUUGGGUAACUGACACUUUACUCAUUGGCCAUCUAUCCUUGAACUUGAUAAGCAUUUUCAUUUAUGUAAGUUUACUUGUAAUUCUUCCAAAACUUAUCUUCACAUUUCCCAACAAACUAAUUUCAGACAUUUUGUUUUUAUGAUUCUAUUGUGACAGGAACCUCCAUUUCAAUAUACUUGUUGCAGGUAUAGAUUUUGUGCAUUGCUUUGUGGUGUUGAUUUGUCCAUCUUUUGUAUUCUGCCUAGCUUAUUGUAAUCUUGAUUUUUAAAGUUUUCAAUUGGG
rnacentral:lncRNA from 1 species